CCUACGGGGUGCAGCAGUGAGGAAUAUUGGUCAAUGGCCGGAAGGCUGAACCAGCCAAGCCGCGUGAAGGACGAAGGUGCCAAGCAUUGUAAACUUCUUUUGUCAAGGGACAAAAUCAGGCUCGAGAGCCUGAACGAGGGUACUUGAAGAAAAAGCAUCGCAUAACUCCGUGCCAGCAGCCGCGGUAAGCCGGAGGAUGCGAGCGUUAUCCGGAUUUCUUGGGUUUAACUGGUGCGUAGGCGGGCUGUGAAGUCAGUGGUAAAAGCCCGGGGCUCAACCUCGGCGAGCCGUUGAAACUGGGUGUCUAGAGAUGUCGAGAGGGAUGCGGAAUGCGCAGUGUAGCGGUGAAAUGCUUAGAUAUUUCGCAGAAUUCCGAUUGCGAAGGCAGCAUACCGGCGGCGAUCUGACGCUGAGGCACGAAAGCGUGGGUAUCGAACAGGAUUAGAUACCCGGGUAGUC
rnacentral:rRNA from 1 species